AUUUAAUCGGCGAAUUCACCAUUUGGAUCCAAAUUCAGUGACCCAUAAGAGGCAUGUAAGAGUGCAGCGUUGCAGAGAAUGCCGGGGGACCACAAUAAUAGAAAUGACAGUACCCUUGAGGCUGCCCAAUGGGUGGUAGAAAACGUUUUAUGACUGUUUAAAAACAUCAUAUUUGUGCGCCAAAUUUGGUCCAGUGAAUUUGGCAUUUGGACUUGAAUUCGGUCCGACAAAUUUAGUCGCCUAUAAGAACCCUUUGCACGUGAGCAUGCAGCAUCACAGAGAACACGGU